rnacentral:lncRNA from 1 species
AAAAACAAAAUGUCGUAAGAAGAGAAGAGUUAGUAGAUUUACAGUUGAUAUUUGGCUUUAGCUAUACAUCUUUUCGUUUUCUGAAAGUUUAAAAUUUCUAACUAAAACUAAUUUUCAUUGGACUGUAACAAGCCGGCUACAUUCGACAUGCUAACAAAAUUUUUAUAUUUAUGAUACUUUGCUUCUUUAGCUUAUAACAUAUUGUUGAGCUCAAGUUUUAUACUUUUUUACAUGAAUAAUUUCAAAUAUUAUUCAAAAUAAUCAAAGCGCAGAAUUAUGAAGAGGCAAGCCUACAUACAGCUCAAAUUUAUAAGAAAAAAGUAGAGGUUUUGAUUCAUAGUGCCUCACAAAUUCAUCUGGGAAAAUUAAUGGCAAUGACAUGUGACUUGUCGAUUCAAAGAAUGAGAAGGGGGUAAAAGGCUCAAAGGAGGUGAUUCAUUGCCGUUUCAUGGAAUCGAUAAUACGUGUUUUGACAAACAGGCUAAAGCCGAAAUAUACAUCCAAAUCUCUAAAUCUGUUCCAGAAAACCAACCAACGCCUCUUAUAAUGCAGUUCUAAAUGCAAUAGCCUGUAGAAAAAGACAAGUAGAUAGGGAAACAUAGAGUGUAAACGAACUAUAAAUCAUACAGCGCUUCUUGAAUAAAAUCAUGAAAGAUUCGCAAAAAAAAAGAAAUUUACUUGCAGAAGUUGCAAUGAUUGUGUCAAGGUUUAUGUUGAUUUUGUUCAAUGUAUUUUCGCACCAGUGAUUCAACAGGUGGAAGACGAAAGCGAGGUUGACGCAAGUAACUUAAGUAUGCUCUUCUAGGUCUUUUAGAUAGACCAUUUUCUUUGAGGACAACAAUACGUUUAAUUUGUGGAGAGUAAAUUGGUAACAAAUAUUCGACUCCAACACCCAUUACCACGUUUCGUAACAGGAUUGAACUUUUUGGUCCACGAUGCCGAAUUCGCAGUAGAUAACCAGCAAAUCUGUUGACUGAAUCUUUUGAUGGGUAUUUUGAGUAGCUUUCAACCAGUAAAACCGCGCCUGGUCUUACUCGAUUUGGCUGCGAGCGAUGAAACAUUUUGAAUCGCUCAGAUUGCUCAUCCAAUACUGAACGGCACUUUUUUUCGAAUAAUGAUAACACAUCUUUGUGCUUUGGACCUGGUACUGGCUUUGGAAAGUUAUAAGGCCGUUUUAACGAUCCAAUACCUCUCUUUUGUAGCCAUUGAAAGCCCAAUCCUAAAUUGAAAAAGUGUUUGGCAUUAAACAUGUCUUCCAAAAGUCAUUAAAUACCGUUCGUUAGUAAGAAUGACAAAACACUAUAUUCUACAGAGUAUCUUUUUAAGUAAGUACGAUGGUAUUCAAAAUGAAUUAGCAAAUUCUGCACAACGUAUUUCGUUAUAUGUUAUUUAUUGUCAACCUUCCAUUACGCUAUAUUAGACUAUGUAAGUUAAUACAGUUGAUUAUAUAUUUUUAUAUGAUUUAUCCAUCAAGGAUUGUGUUUCUGACCUUGAAUGUUCAAGGCAAUAGAAAGAUUCCUGUUGAACCCGAAUGAAUAUACGUGUUCCAAUUCAGUUACAUGGCUUCUCAUUGUAGUUAUAAUACUAUCAAUAACUCGCUGGUAUUCAGAAAACUUCAAUAGCAAGAUUUGCUU